rnacentral:lncRNA from 1 species
UAAAGACUAUGUAUGGAAUAAGAUCCUUUCCAACAGUUGUGUCAUUGUCACUUCCAUUUGGACCAUUCUCAAAAUAAAACUUAACUCCAUCUUCUUUGACUUUUUUCUUCCUCCUCUUCAACUCAAAAUACUCGUGUUCAGUGAUAAUUUGUAAUACUCCAAACAUGCUUUAUAAAGAGUAUGUGGUUCUAUAGCUAUGGGAUCAUCAAAAAUAAUCUCAGUUGUUUGGUAUCCUCUGUAAUAUUUUACAUUGAAUGUUGUUGAAGCGUAUCAGUUUUCUACAUCCUUUUGGAGUGAAUCAAUCAUUUUCAGGCGAAUACUCCCUCUCAUCUUUUAAUCUUCUUCGAAAUACGGAAAUGCUACUCCAAAGCCAAAGAUAUUGAUGGGUUGAUUCACCGUAAAACAAAUGGAGUGUUUCAGGUUUUUGAGUUGCGUAAAAUCAUUUAAUUCAAAUCUAUGACAGGCACGUUCUCUGGAAUUCAUGAUCAAGUUCCAUGAUAUACUUGAUUUGCUUUUGGAAAUGUAUUUGAAAAUAUCAACAAUAUUUUCGUCUGUAAGUAAUCCUGAUGGAAUUACUUCUAUCCCUAAUAGAGAUGGAGAUAGAAUAGGAAAACAAUUUGAUUACAGUGUAGGUCCAAGAAUUUGUCUCAAGUCACUCUUCUUAUCUUAAGUCUGAGAUGUUCCCCCGUGGAGAACAAUUCUAAAGACUUCUAUUUCAUCUAUAUACAGUUUAUCAGAUAACAAAAGGUCCUUUAGUAUUUAACUGUCUUUGAUUCUCAGAACAGAGUGAGAAGAAAGUGUAAUAGUUGGAUUGAGUACAAUUUGAUUCAAAAGCCUAGGAACCAAGUGAUCAACACCAGGUAAUUUAGAUGAAUAAUAGAAGGAACCAAAGAUUUUCAUCUAUAACAUCAUUAAUGAAGGAAAUACACUUUUUGUGGAGAGUGGUUAAAUCAUACCUCUUGGGACAAUAAUGAGCAGAGGACACACGUUUUCAAGACACAACCUAAUAGACCUGAUCCAUGUAUAUCCAUUUCAAUAUAUCUUUGAAUCCAGAGUAAGUCACAUCCAAAACGUCAAAUACAAGAUCAUUGUCAUCCAUCCUGGGUUCUUUCAAGUCUCUAUUGAACAUCUGUAAAAAUACAGGACUAGCAGAUCCAAGAAUGUUUCUAUGGCCAUAAAUCCUUUCGGGAGACUCUCAUUUAUUUCCUUCAACCAUAAAAGAAACAUCGAAGAAAAGUCCUGACUCUAAAAGAUGUCCACACCGAUUUCAUGUUGAGUCCAACACACUCAUUUUAAGAUCUACUUGAAAUGAAAAAUUAUACUUUAACAUUAAUAUUGAGGACAUAGAUUUAUGAGCUCCUCAAAGUUUCGUAUCAAACAAUCAACUGAAAAUUAUGUUUAAUCCACAAAACAAAGCACAAUGAAAUAUGUUACGCGCUCUUUUUUGUUCUUGAUGGGAGUGGCAAAGAAGUUUUCCAUAAGACUGAGAUCCAAAGACACUGGAGCAUCAAAUUUUUCC